GACGAACGCUGGCGGCGUGCUUAGCACAUGCAAGUCGAACGGAAAGGCUCCAGCUUGCUGGAGUACUCGAGUGGCGAACGGGUGAGUAACACGUGGGUAAUCUGCCCUGCACUCUGGGAUAAGCCUGGGAAACUGGGUCUAAUACUGGAUAUGACCUUUCUCCUUAUGGGGUUUGGUGGAAAGUUUUUCGGUGUAGGAUGAGCCCGCGGCCUAUCAGCUUGUUGGUGGGGUGAUGGCCUACCAAGGCGACGACGGGUAGCCGGCCUGAGAGGGUGAUCGGCCACAUUGGGACUGAGAUACGGCCCAGACUCCUACGGGAGGCAGCAGUGGGGAAUAUUGCACAAUGGGCGGAAGCCUGAUGCAGCGACGCCGCGUGAGGGAUGACGGCCUUCGGGUCGUAAACCUCUUUCAGCAGGGACGAAGCGUAAGUGACGGUACCUGCAGAAGAAGCACCGGCUAACUAUGUG
rnacentral:rRNA from 1 species